GUCAUCUACAGUUAAGAUAAGCUUUUAAGUUCUAGAAGUGAUGAACCAUGUGGUUUAGAAAAACAUGCUACAGAUAAAAUAAUCCCUUCUCCUGAUAAAUGAUUUUGUCAAGCAGAUUACAAGGUAUCUUUAAGGCUGGAGACAUUACUUCUAAAGCUAUCGAGGUCAUGAAAAAGCAAUGGUGUUCAUUUAAUCAACUGAAGAUAAAGCAUUAUGAGCUCCAAGGCUGUGGCCAUGCUGAGGCACUGCCAGUAUUCUUUAAAAAAUAGAAACAUGGAAAAAAAUAUAAAUAAUUCUUUCUAAUUUUGGUACAAGGCCAAAUAUGAAAGGGAGAAGGAAGUUGAUUACAUGGUACUUUCAUUCAUUGACCCUGAAAAAAUGAAUAUCAGAGUUAACCUCGGUGACAUUUGAACUCUGAGCAUAAUGGGUUGGAAGAAAUGCCACCAAACAUUUUGUCACACUAAUGGUUCUAUCAGUUCACCAUCUUUAAUAAUAAAUUUUUCAGAUUGGCAGAAAAAAAAAAAAAAAAACAAAGAAAAAAAUCAAUUUCUAGAGAACUAUAGAUGACUGAAUUAACCUCCAUGUACUUUUGGUUCUUCUGCAAACCCACGAGGGAUUCAAGGAAAUCGUGUUCAAGUUAUUUGUUGUGAAAGAUAAGAAAUUAUAAAGGCAAAAAAAGAGAAAGAUUUGUAGGGCAUUUAAUUUGAUAAGAAGUAAGCUUACCUGAUGUUCAGAAUUUAUAACUGUAACAUGCCGCAAGCCUAAUGCCCGAAACAGCCGGAAGAUUCGUGAGUAUGUUGCACGCUGGAAGUGAGGAAUGAAAUAAGAGACAUUUAGUAACAAAUUAAAACCAAAUUGGCUUUAGUAUCAAAAUUCGUAAUAUUAAUUAUGGGAGAAGAACUGCAUAAUAUGGUAAAGGAAAGGCGAGGAGAGAGAGAAAAGAAUGUUUAGCAGAAGGGAAUAUUGAAAUGGUGAGAGGUGGAAGAAGGUAAUGCUAUAAUGUUAUAUGGUCAGGUGGUUGGUUGAAGAGAGAGGAGGCAAAAAAGACAAAACCAGAAAAGUGUUUACUGGAGAGAAAAUGAGAACAGUGAGAGGAGAAAGGGAACGUUACAGACAUACAAGAACUGUAGUAGCCAUUAAAGUGGUGGUGGGGGGGUGUCAUCUGUAGGGAUAUUCCUUAAUGAAGUUGGAGACAGAAGAAUAUGGUUUUUUUUACUCAACUAUUUUUUUUACAAAAUAUUCAUGCACUUUAGAGUAAUUAAUUGUCGUCUGCUAAACGAACAUUUCAUAUUUGUUUACCUAUAGUACAGUGGUUCCCAACUCUUUUAUAUAAAUGAGUUUUCCCAUAGACCCCUUUUAAUAUGCUUAACCUUAUGUAUGUGUGUAUGUGUGUGGGACGUGCUGUCUGGGUAGGCAAGGUGGGCAGUGCCUACCCUGAAUAAAAUAGAUCAAUAGUAAUAUUUUCCUUUUAUGACAAAAUAUGCCCCUAAGUCAAUAAAAUUAUGAAGGUUACUCUGAUUACUAUGCAUAAAAUGCAAAAUGUUUUUUGUUUUUUUUUGUAGAUUAGGUAGGCAUAAUUCGCCCCUGGCCUUUCAAUCUCAGUAUUAAAGCUACACAGGGUAUUGCUGUAGUACACAUGCUGCGUACAUUCCUACAACAAUGUUUUUUUUAUGCGCUAAAAAGGCAGAAGUAAUUCUGCCUCCAACUCAGUCGUACGCCUUGUGUUCCAUCCCAUAAACGUCACCAGCUGAGUGAUUACCAACGGCACAUGCCUGAGAUAUAUUUAUAUAUAGGUUAUGAGAGGUAAUGGUGUCAAGAAGACCCAAAGGUGUCAGGUAAUGCCGAGUAAGUGCUAUGGACAGACUAUAGUUAAGCUCAAGGUUUAGCGAUUAUGUCAAUGAGGAGUCCAACAUGGGUCAUAUAUUAGCAUGUGUAUAUAUAAAAAAAUUUACAGAAUGAGAUAAAGAAUCCAAGGCUGUGAAAGAUAUCAGAGCAUUUAUAAAGAGAAGGUCUUACAGCUGUUUCCGAGAUAUUAUAUAUAUCCCUUCAUCAGAGACAGUGCGAGAAAAUGGUUACGCUAUAGUUAUUAUAAAGUAGAUAUGAAAUCUGUGUGUGUAUGUAUGUAUAUAUAUAUAUGAUGAUGAUGAUAUAUAUAUAUAUACACACACAUAAAAUUUUGAAUUUAGUUCAUGGAUCCCCAGUACUACCUUUGCAGACCCCAGGUUGGGAACCACUGAUCUACAACAUUACUGGCAGCUCUGUAUGUAACUCAGUAACUAUGAAAUAAAAGGGAAGACAUAAAAUUUAGAUUAUUUAUGAGACAAUUGACUGAUAAACUAUGGAAGGAAAUGAAAGACAUAAUCUAUUGAAGAACAACAAUUAUAUUAUUUGUGAGACAAAGAUUUGAUAAAUAUUCUAAAUUAAGUACAGAAAUAGGCACAGGCAUGGCUGUGUAGUAAGAAGUUUGCUUCUCAAUUACAUGGUUCUGGGUUCAGUCUCACUGCAUGGCACCUUUGGCAAGUAUCUUCUACACUAGCCAUGGGCCAACCUAAGCCUUGUGAGUCGAUUUGGUAGACGGAAAC